UACAGAGGGGGCAAGCGUUAUUCGGAAUUACUGGGCGUAAAGGGCGCGUAGGCGGCCUGUUAAGUCAGGGGUGAAAGCCCAAGGCUCAACCUUGGAAUUGCCUUUGAUACUGAGGGCCUUGAGACCGGAAGAGGUCGGCGGAACUGCGAGUGUAGAGGUGAAAUUCGUAGAUAUUCGCAAGAACACCAGUGGCGAAGGCGGCCGACUGGUCCGGUUCUGACGCUGAGGAGCGAAAGCGUGGGGAGCGAACAGG
rnacentral:rRNA from 1 species